AUUGAACGCUGGCGGCAGGCCUCACACAUGCAAGUCGAGCGCGCGGCGGACGGGUGAGUAAUGUCUGGGAAACUGCCUGAUGGAGGGGGAUAACUCCUGGAAACGGUAGCUAAUACCGCAUACCAUCGGAUGUGCCCAGAUGGGAUUAGCUAGUAGGUGGGGUAAAGGCUCACCUAGUCGACGAUCCCUAGCUGGUCUGAGAGGAUGACCAGCCACAAUGGAACUGAGACACGGUCCAGAAUCCUACGGGGGGCAGCAGUGGGGAAUAUUGCACAAUGGGCGCAAGCCUGAUGCAGCCAUGCGGCGUGUAUGAAGAAGGCCUUCGGGUUGUAAAGUACUUUCAGCGGGGAGGCGUUACCCGCAGAAGAAGCACCGGCUAACUCCGUGCCAGCAGCCGCGGUAAUAU
rnacentral:rRNA from 1 species